rnacentral:lncRNA from 1 species
AUGUGAUGUUUAAGGCAUAUGGAAAAGUUUUAAGGAUAAUUUUAUAAACAACCUUGACUCCAGCUUAACAAAUAAGACUCUGCUUGGGAACAUUUUGUUUGUAGAUAUUCUAACAUUCACUCCAUUUGUUCCCUGGACUUUAUUGUAAUUAUGUGGCGAGAUGUCUGAAAAAACACCUGGGUAAAAAUUCAAAUCUGAAGUUCAAAUACUAUGUGUUUCUAAAGUAAUGAACUUCUUUACAGUACAGAUACUGACUUACUGACUUUGAAAAACUUAUGGUUUCCAAAGGAGAGAAGUUGGGGGGUGGGAGGAUGGGAUGGAAAAUGCUAUAUCAUUGUACAACUAUAAAUGUAACAAAUUCAUUGAGUAUUGCAAAAAAAAAAAGAAAGAAAGAAAGAAAGAAAGAAUGUUGGAGUUGUCGUUGUAGCUCAGUGGUUAACAAACCCGACUAGUAUCCCUGAGGAUGAAGGUUCUAUCCCCGACCUCGAUCAGUGGGUUAAGGAUCUGGCGUUGCCAUGAGCUACAGUGUAGGUCACAGACCUGGCUCGAAUCUGGCGUUGCUGUGGCUGUGGUGUAGGCCAGCAGUUGCAGCUCCAAUUUGACUCCUAGCCUGGGAACCUCCAUAUGCCACAGAUGCAGCCCCCCCCCACUCCAAAAAAGGGAGGUACCCUGGAUGCAGCCACAGCGGGUAGAGAGAGAGCAUCAUUGAGGAUCCAGGCCCCCCCAACAUUCCAAUAGGAAGCAUGAGCUUGAAGAACAGGCAUACUGAUUGUAAUCUAGUCUGAAGCUGAAAUCGUCCUUCGAGUGUCUGUUAAAAACUCUUUUAAAAUCAUCCUCAUCAGAAACAAUUGCAGAAGUUUGAGCAAAGCGAAUUUACACGCUAAUUUAUAAAUAUUGUUUCAUCUCAUAAGAGUGUACUGAUCUACUUUCUUUGUUUUGUUUUCUUUGUUGAAAGCUUCCUCAUUUCUGUUUGAAGCUCUGCCACGGAGGACUUCCCACCCAUGAGCUUGGGGCAGAGGGUGUCACGCUUUCCAGGGUUCAUCACUGGACCUCAGCUAACAGUUGUAAGUACCAACAGCCUCCUCCACAACCCUUCUAACUGCCACAAACCAAAAUAAAGAACAAAAAACUAGGCCAUAUAGGGGUUUCCAUCAUGGCUUAGUGAUAACAAACCCAACUAGUAUCCAUGAGGAUGUGGGUUCAAUCCCCGGCCUCAGUGGGUUAAGGAUCGAGACGACAGCAACAUCAACAAAAACAUUAAGCCAUACAAAUUCCACUUUCCUCGUGAGUGUUUCCCGCCUGCCAGGUCUGCGGUGUCCUCCGCUCCCAGUGAACCCCUGGGGUUCUUAGUGCUUCUCCAGCGAUGUUCACCGGGUCCUACACUGUGCAGAGUUGCCGGCUUACCCACUGCUGGGCUCUAGGCCAUGCGAGGGCAGGAACCUCGUCCUAGUCACUGCACGUCCUCAGGACCGUGACCUGCCAAGGGCACUGGAUCCACAGAAGGAGAUACAGGGGCAGGUAUGGAAGAAACUCAGCCUCACAGCUCAGCACUCAUCCUGGGGGUUACUCCUCACCACCCAGAAGCUGUGUGCUGUAUUUCACAUGAAAGCGUGUGAUUAAAAUAUUUCUUGUUGGCAGGAGCCCCUCCUGUCAGGACCGGCCAGUGGUGUCGGGCUGAGGGCGCCAGCCAGGUGUCCCUGCAGCUUUAGGCUUUCAGCAAACAUCAAGACUCGGAUAUCUAAACCACAAGCAAAAUCCUUCCAAAGAUCUUAAACUGUGUUGAAGUGAGGCUGAACAAACCGCUGAUCUGAGAGCUGGCGCAGCACACGGAGCUCCCCGGCCCUUUGAUUAGUGCCAGGAUGCAGGGGCUCACAGGGGGGGUCCCCAUGCAGGUUACCAGUCAAGACCCCGGCUUCUGUGGAUGCUGAGAUGCGGGGAGGGCCCCUGACGUGACAGAGGACCCACAGCUGGUCAGUGGUGGGGUCAGUCAGAAAAUCCAUCCUUCAGAUGAGGCUGAGGUGCCGUGGGCAGUGAGGCCGAGACAGCCCUGAGUGAUCCUCCAGCAGAAGGGGCCAUGAUCCAUGU